GUAAGCCCGGGUCUCCGCGCGCUGCGCCGGGCCGGGGCCGCGAGGCUGCGGGUGGGACCCUGUGCGCGGGAGCACCGCGCGCGAGCAGGCGCAGCUUCGGGAGGCGCGGUUAGCGCGCGAUCGCGCCGGGCCGGCCCGUGCGGGACGGGCGCGGACGCCAGCUCGCGGCGGCGCGGUGGGGACCCGACGGCGAGCACAGGUCCUGCCUGGUGAGUGCUCGCCCUCGCCCCACCCCCAAGGAGAGAAGAAAAGUCUGCAGGGAAAUAAUUGCGCCCUGCAGAGAGACCGGAGCUCGCGGGGACCCGAAGGCCGGCGUGGGGGAGGGGCGCCCCGGUCCGGGUCGCUCCGCACCCCACCCUCCCUACUGUGCGUGGCCGGGGCCCCCGAGCCUCGGGUGAUCGGCCGCCUUCAGAAGGCCCUGCUGCUAGGCACGGGGGCGCGCGCCGGCUUCUCUCCCUCCGUAAGCCGGUUUAGAAUCCUGGGGAUCAGCAUCUCGGGAUCCCUAAAAGUGAGGCGGCUCGGCCUCCCGGGCGGGCCCGGGCAUGUUUGGCGGGGCUCGCUAUCAGCUCACAGCAAACCAUCCUGGUUUCCUACUUGACUUCCUGCUGUCCGAAACCACAAGUGUUUUUAAUUUUAGAAGACCAUGGCGUGAGGGUCCCCGAGUAGCCACGCUUCUCGGCCUCCCUGAUGCUGCGACCCUUUAACGCGGUUCUUCACGUUGUGACUCCCCAGCCAUAAAAUUAUCGUUGCUGCCUUGGAACUGUAAUUGUGCUACUGUUAUGAAUCGUAAUGUAAAUAUUUUUGGAGUUAGAGGUUUGCCAGAGGGGUCGCGACCCACGGGUGGAGAGCGAGCGCUGUUGUAGAGGAAAGGAAUGGGGAGGGUUAGAAAGAGGAGAAACAGGCUUAUAAGUCAGUGUCUGCGCUGGAGAGUCCGAAUGUCUGCAGUCACCUCAAGUCUUAAAAAUCCUAAGUGAUUAACGCUGCAGACGCCCAUCGCUGGCCCAGGACACAAUAGCCUCUGGGUGCCUGGGCCACCUCCACAGCCUGGCAGACUCUUCAUGGUUUCCUCUAGGCUGGGGCGCCCUACAUAGCCAGCUGUGCCCUGGCACCUGAGCACAGCCACCCACACGUGAGGCUUCAUGUGUGUCCAUGAGCACUCGGGCAGUUCUGAAUGCGUGCUCACCACAUUCUGUGGAGAGUCUCACAUCUGUGUGUAUACACAAGGGCAGGCUGGCUCAGCAGGCUGAGGCACUCGCCAAGCCUGACCACCCGAGUUAGAUCCACGGCUCUCCCCUGGUACUCCCACGUUAGAAGGAGAGAACUGACUCACAAGCGUUGGUUGGUUGGUUGGUUGGUUGUUUUGGGGUUUUUUUUAUUAUUAUUUUGUUUUUUUGCUGACCUCACACUCAUGCCAUGGUACAAGCAGGCCGGCAAGCAUGCAGGCACACACAAAAAUAAAUAAAUGUAAUUUAAAAGGACAGUUUGAAUCUCACACACAGCACACUGACACACAUCACACACGACAAGCACUCUCAAUUACAACUGACUGAACCCUGGCAGAGCAACCCAUUACCCACAAACCCUGGUACCUCCUCCAGCGUUCCCCACUGCCCCUACAAGGCUGGAGCCUGGAAGCAGGCCUAGGCCUCCAGCUCCCAAAUGACCCAGAGCCCACUGUGUGAACUCAUUGAAUAAAUAAUCACUUUUUAAUACAAGGGGGUGGGGGUGUAUCUUGAGUUACAUAAAAUUGUGAAUUAGUCGCUGCUCCAAAUAAAUGCCUGCUUGGGCCAGAGAGCAGUGGCGCUGCACUGCGGGGUAAUUGUGUGUUGGGUGUCUCUCCCAUUGUUCCCUGGGCCAUUAGUCAAAGGGCAAAUUAGAAACAAUUUCUUGACGACAAAAAAAAAAUUGACUCUUAAUUCUUCCCACAGAAGUGAAAGGGACAGGUCCAGAGGCCUAAGGCUGGAGCCUGGUCUGGAGGGGCAGGGGGCCCAGAGGGAGGGGGUUUUGCACCUGGGCAGUACAAUAGCAUGCAGGUUGUAUCCAGGCCGGGGAAGGAUGGGGGGGGGGGAUUCACAGCAUCUGUCUCUCCUUCAACAUGAUGACAGUCCAUCCUCAAUCUAGAAUUAGGGCUUGAAGGGAUAGCUGGGGACAUUGGGAUCUUGCCCCCUUCUUUACAAAGGGGAUCGAAUUCAAAAGCCGCCUGAGGUACUGGCCUGGUUGGAAGAGGGGGUCUCACUAGAAGCACUACUGAGCCCUAGAAGGAAUACUGCCGAGAAAAGUCUGAGUGUAGCCAGGUCACCCGCUUGGUGCUCUGUGCCUGGGAGCGUAAGGUUUGUGCACAACUUGAUUGGAGGGGGAGAAGAGAGGGUGCCCUGGUCCCAAGAUAAAGCCCCCCCAAAAGAACAGUACUUCAAACAGCCCGUUGAUUUAGCUGGUCACAGAGGUGUGGGAGCAAGAGGUAUUAUUGCCCUGCUCUCUUGGGGGUAUCCCAGCCCCCAGCUCCUGUCCCCUCCCAACUGGAGAAGGGACAAAACAGAAGCAGAGGAGGAAGGUUGCAGGGUCCUGUCCUGCUGAGUGUCCCCCUGUCCUCUGCACACCUCUGGAGGCAUGGCUCUGCGCCCCUAGCCAACAUCUCCCCCAAGGCGUUUCCCUGACACAGCUCCAAACCAAGCCUGGAACUUUGCUAAAUUGAAGCUGGCUCAAGCCGGAGGGACCCCUGUGGGAGGCACAGGUUUUCCCUUCAAGGCCAUAGGCAGAUCUUAAGACCUGCUUCUAAGUUUUAAACACCGAGGAGAGGAGCCCCAGACCACUUUGAAGUCAGAUAAACAGCUUCUCCGAGCCGCUGCAGCUUCCUCCCAGGGAGGUUUAAAUUCUGUUGUUGCUGAUUUCCUCCAACCAGGUCAGGAGGCUGCCCAGCCCCCUCCCCACACAGGAAAGGUGCUUGUUAAACACAGUCGUAAUUUGUGGCUAAAUAUAACCCAGUGUGUUCACACGGAAAGCAUAAUUCAGAGGGCUCGUUGCAUGAGGUUAUCAGUGAGGAGACCCAUCUGGGUUAAAUUAAAGUGAUUUUCAUAAAGGGCAGAAGCAUCUAUUGCCAGGCUCCUCUUGGCCCUUUUACUAGUGAUAGUGUGAUAUUUGUACUAAAGUGGGUGGGGUAAGGUGGGAGGGGGGCCGCACCCCAGGGCUCCCAUUAUAGAUCUCUUCAUCCAAGGCUGGAUGAGGCUUCUAUUAUCCUGGGAAGGUUCUGGGGGAGCAAGGCAGGCUUUGGGGGUCUGCUAAAGAAGAACUGAUUGAUUUUCCUGUUAGGCUGAUCCAGAUAGCCCUCAAUCUUGGUAGUGAGGAAGCGUGCCCGCCCCCCCCCCGCCCCAUUAUAGGAGCCCAGGAGGGAAAGCCCGGGUGGAUAAUCGGAGGGAUUCUCAGUAAUAGGUCAGGAUGGCUGAGUGACAGAAGCAACCUUGGUCAGUCUUUGUGUUCCUUCCAGGUAUAGCCCCAAAGUAAGAUUGGCUUCAAGUCCUCCAAGACACCUGCUUCCACUGCUGGAUGCACCAGACCUGGUUUUGAAGGAAGUACAGUGGCCACAGGAUUACAGAUUUCAGCUGUGUGCAAAUGUGUUCACACAGGUCGAACGGCGGCGGGGUAUGUCUGGAGUGACUCUCAGGAGCCAGAUUUCUGCUGCCUGGUCUCACAGUGUCAGGGAAACCAGAGGAGGCUCCUGCCUCUGCUAGGCCCUAGAAAGACAUGCAGGCUGAGUGUCAGGAACUCCUCCGACCCAGCUUUGCUGAACUCUAGGCCCAGGGUUUGCAGGAUCCACAGCCACCAGCCCCUGGCCACCUCAGUUCCGGCUCCUCACCACCCCAGCCCUGUCAGCAGGCAAUCUCCUACUCUCUUCCUUUCAAGCUCCCACACUGUGAAAAGUCCAGUUAGCCAGACUUCCCCCCCACAGAGAGAGCCUGGUUGGGUCACUUCCCUUGUUCUGGAGCUUUCUCUACCCCCAGCUCCCUGGUGGUAGUCCCGCUUUCGGAGUAGGACUUUACACCCAGCAGAAGAACCCCGGAAGGUUUCUAUCAGUUAUAUGACACAUACACUGUGCACCUUCUCCGUAAUUUCUGUGGAGGAUUGAGUCCUUAGUCUAGUUACCUGCAGUAUUUAUAAACCAAAUAAAAUUUCCUUCCAAGUUCCCAACUGAGUCAGGUCCUGUGGCAAAGCUCUGUCUCUAGCCUGGAGACAACUGGACCACCUGACUGCCGGCUGGAGUGUGGUGUGGCCACCGCCUCUUUUGUUAACAGGACAGUUGAUCCAUUAAAUUAAAAAUCAGUCAAUAGAUCCAUUUUUUCCUAACGUGUGUGAAUACACAUUCCACCCUAAUUCUCAGACAUCAAUGCCAGCGGAGGUAGGGAACUACCAAGGGACGUUUCCACAAGUGGCCCCAAUAGGAAACUACCGGAAUAACCUCAUCACCAGAAUCCAGGAUAGCCAGAGGAACCUGGCUAGGGGCCAUCACUAAACCCCCAGUUCCCCCAACUCACUUUCUAGCAUGCCCCACUUGGGCAGACGCUGAAAUGCGGGGAUGCAGACAGAGCUGUGGGUCAGCCCCAGUGGCACUGGGGAUCCGGCAUGAGGCCCCUUGCGGCUUCUCUCUGCGCGCUGAACGCGCAGACACAAUUGGGGGGGACGGGGUAGUCUUCUUCCCACCGGGUUUUUAAGUAGCAGGAUUUUCAGAUGCAAACAAACAAACAAAAAGCCUCCUGAGGUGGGCGGUAAAAAAAAAAAAAAAAAAUCAAAGCCUCUACAUCCGAGCCAGAAACAAAAGCUCUUUGGAAGUGCCGCGGCGGGCGGGCGGAGUGCAUCUCGGAUCCCGAGGAGGAGCCGCCCGGACCCGCAUCCGGAGAAGGAGCCGGCGGGUGUCCCCACCUGCUCGCCGGCCGCUCAGUCCUGUCCCCGAGAGGAGGAAGGCGGCCAGAGGCACCACAACCACAAAUUUAUGGCCUGGGUGACGUGCUUUCCUCUCCCACAAUGGGGCCUGGUGACAUUAAACAGAAAAUUGAUGAGAGGGAAGCGAAAUCUAAUCUUUUCCACGUCGGCUCUUCGCGCUUUUCGGGGAGGGGGUUGGGGCGGGGAGAAGACAGCGGCUGCCUGGAGUUGAGAGCUCUGGGCCGGAGGCUUCCUUCCCUCUGGUUGGUUUCUCGACACGGGCAUGCACGGCCCGCCCGCGCGCCCGCGUGCAGCUGCAUUCCGGGUAGGAUUUCGGAGCCUGGCACCCGAGUGGCCUUUGGAACAUCCCCGGUGCUCUCCCAGGCACACCCCGUCCAGAGCAGGGCAUCCCACCCCCGCCCUGGCCACCAGCGCCCACUCCCCACUGCUGCACGGUUCCCGGGGCGCACCGGGUGCCUCCUGUUACCGAACUGCGCCCGCUAAGUCCUUAAAGGAGCCGUUCUUCUUCCAGCCUUUGUCGGAGCGUCUAGGGGAAGGUCAAGAGGGUGCCAGGACAAUGCCCUAGGGGCCCGGCGGUGAAACCUAGGCCCAGCCGCACUUUACCUAGAUGCUCCAGGCUAGGUGUUGCCGCCUGGGUUGUGCUGGUACAGCUGCUGAGGUCUGAGCUUUCGAUGAGAGCUCCCCUGGACUCCAGGGGAUGAGGCUUGAGCCAGCUCAGGCCCUGCUUGCCUCUCUGACCUGUGUGAGAACAUUCCAAGUGCAGCCAGCAGCAGAAAAGCCCACUGACAAUUCCCAGUCUGGCCCGGCUUUGGUAUGGAGCAAAGCACCUGAGAAUUCUUGUUCGUGCUGAGAAAGAGGCCUCACUCCAGGCAGUGAGCAGCCAGGCCAACCCUCAGCCCCUGAUGAGGGGCCCCCAACAGAGGCCCUUGUGGAUCCCCGGAGCAGGUGGGUUGUAGAUCAGUCCUGGAGGGUAAGUGGGGAGAACUUCUCAGAGGCCUGGUGAUGAACAGCAACAGUGGGGUCUCGUUUAGAAUGUGGGGCUCCUCCCUGGACGGUUUGCGAAGAAUUACAAAGGUGAUGUCACUGGGACCCUGGGAACUCGGACAAUACUGAGUGGUCCACUCCUGGCUCAGCAGUCCAGGGACCCCAGAACCAGGGCAAUAGAAGGAUGGGUGAAUUUUAUUCUAUUUAUAAUUUUUCCUAUUUCUUGAAUUUCUCUCGAAAUGUAUUUAUUUUGCAAUCAGAAAUAACUAAUCAACACUACCCCAGAAAGUGUACAGGCCCAAAUGCCCGUGGCUUGCUAUAAAGCUGGGUCCUGUACCUUAGCUGUAGGCCCCUGUGCCAUCCCUGUCCCCCCAUCCUCAUCUCUGCCCGCAGGUUCCCGGCGUUGUUUUAGGAACACACAUAGAGAGGGAGGCCACUUAGUCAGAUGAGAUUCCUGACCGUGAGUAGCUGCACAGCCCUGGGGAGGGCAAGCCAGUAACAUGCAAACAUGCAUGUUGAGACCAAAAAGGUGCCAGGUGCCCACUGCAUCGGGGACUCAGAAGUCCUGGUCUUCAGGCUAGAGCUGGCCUCCAUCAGAACUCCAGAGCUAAGGAGCAGUCCCAGCAGUCCAGAGCCCUGUCCUUGAAGAUGGGACUGGUCUGCCAGCCCGUGCUCAGAACCAUGAAGGCAAGCAGCUGCUAGAUGUCAAGGGCCUUGGCAAGGCUGGGCCCCUUCCCCAGCCCUCCACAGGUCCCUGCACCAUCGUGGUCAUGUCCAUGUCUGCUCCAUCAAGUCUGCCCCUGUAACUGGUGAUUGUUUGGCCCCAACCGUUCCCCAGUGUGGGGGUCCUGGAGGAUUUUUGUCAGGAAGUGAGUGGGAGGUGAGCUCCAGGGGUCACUGACUAUGUAUAGGACCUGGGUGUGGCUUGGCCUGUUAGCAGAAUAGUCCUAGGACUCUCAAACCUCCUGGAAGGGUAGGGAAGUUUGGAAACUAAAGAGUCAGCAAGGGAGGGGAUAGAUAAGACAGGGCCCACUGCCACUCUCCAUGGCAAAGAGGAAGUGCCUGACACAGCAAGGCCCCAGCCCUGCUAGUAACUGCUUCUGUGGGACCUGGGACCGUUGGAGGUUCUGCCCAUAAAAAGGAGGGGCUCAAGGCCCACUCCCACAAACCCACCUAGGGAGGACACAGGAGAGCUGGAUGGACAUGAACACAGGUCAUGCUAUCCUGGCCCUGAGAACCCAGAGCAUGAGGGUUAGGCUGUUAGCUGUGGGGGACCAGAGGAACCUAGUGGGUGACUAACACUGACUUAGGGAGCCCCGGAGAGGCCAGAGGAGAGCCUGUCCUAUGCACCCCCACACCAUAAAGCAGACCCCAAAAUGGAAGUGGGGCCUGCACGGCACAGAUUCUGCAGACCACCUGCUGACUUCCACUUCUUCCCUCACAUGUGACAGGCUAGGUGGGUGCUGGGGAGGAACCAAGGCCCAGGGGAACACGCCUGACAGUUGGGUGGGGCUGUCCCGUAGGGGAAAGAUAAGUGUCUUGGCAUUUCCCUCCUACCAGGUAAUCACAUUAUUAAUAAACCACAGGUCCAAAGUUCAAAGGUUGAGGUGUGAAAUUGGAAGCAGAAAAGUGAACGUCUUGUCUCUUGUCGUGAAGCAGGUGGCCUGUCCCCACAUGGGGUGGGGGCCGACAGAGAGACCCUGCCUCGCCCACCACCCACACCUGUGACCCCGCCCUCCUCAGACACCCCCCAGGCCACAAUAGAGAUCACAGACUUACAGGGCACCUUGCCCCAGAAGCAAGGGUUCUACAGAGGACACACACCGCCCUUCCCGAUCCUACGUGGCAUCCUUUCCUAUAACUGAAGCCCCUUGGUCAUCUGCUUGUCCUGGAAGAGGCCCGUCUCUGUCUCCAGUCACACAGUGUGACGAGGCUGUGACUUGCACGUGCACACAACAGACAGAUGCAAAGCCCAGACAUGGAAGACACUGAAAGAACUUGUGCAGAUGUGUCACCUGGCAGAGUCACAGGGUGUAGAGAAACUGUCUUCUGUGAACACGUGGAGGACAAUGGGAUCCAGAGACGAAGAGCAACUUGUUCCAAGUCACACAGCCGGUGAGGAACAGCCAGGCUUUGGUUUUGUCUCUUUCAUCUGGUCAUAGCUGUCCCUUGGGCUGGAGGCCCAGCCAAGAGGUGCACUGUCUGACCUCAAACCCCAACCUUGAAAACCUGGAUGACUCUGGGAUAGGGUUAACACUGCAUUUAUUUAAUGAAUUGCUACUUACUCACUUAAAUUUAUAUUGAUUAGUUUUGUUCUUUGACAGUUUUAUAUGUGUAUAUAUUCUGAUCACUCUGUCUCUCUUUAUAUCCCUACCAAUCCAGAGUCAUGACUUUUGGUUUUGUUUUGUAUUUAGUUAAUUAUUAACUCUUUCUUUUUCUUUUUUGUUUCUUUUUCUUUUUUUUUUUUCUUUUUUUUUUUUUUGGAAAUAGGGUUUCACGAUGUAGGGCAGGCGAUAGUUUUAAAUUGACAGAGAUCCUCCCAUCUUUGCCUCUGCCUUUGGGAUGCUGAAGUUAAAGGCGUGUACCAGCAUACCUGCCCUGUUUAAUUUCUGAGGAAGGUUUUCGUGUACUCUAGACUGACCUCAAACUCACUGUGUAAUUGAGGAUGGCCUUGAACUUCUGAUCUUCCUGCUUCCUCCUCCCUCAUGCCAAGACUACAGGCCUGUGCCACACAUUCAUUGUUUUGUGGUAUUUGGGACUCAGGUAUAUGUAGGCAGCCACGCUGCCAUUUCACCAGCUCCUGUAAAUAAGUAAAACCCAUCUUCUUACUUUUUUUGUUUGUUUUGUUUUGUGAGACAGGGUUUGUCUGUAUAGCCCUGGCUGUUCUGGAAUUCACUCUGUAGACCAGGCUGAUCUUAAACUCACAGAGGUCCGCCCGCCUGUGCCUCCUGAACCCUGAGGUUAGGAGUGAGUGCCACCACCACCACCACCACCUUUUACAUUUUAUAUUUUAGGUCUCUCCACAUAGUUCAGGCUGACCUGGAACUCACCGUAUAGCCCAGGCUGGCAUAGAACUUGCUGUAAUCUUCCUGUCUCUGUCUCCCACGCGUUGAGAUUGCUGAUGUGAGCUACCAUACCCAGUUACUAGUAUUGUGUGACAUGUCCAGUGCUGUUGUCCUUGUGGCCAGGAUCUGGCCACACUUUUUCCAGUCUCUGGAGGAAGCUUUGGGGUUCUCAGCCUCUGAAAGAGGAAGGAGGAGGGCUGUGGACAGAGAAAUAGGGCCCAGAGGCCUGGCAAAGCAAACAUGUGAGCAAGAGGCAGCCCUGCUCUGCAUGGGGAAAACUGAAGGGAGAAAGAAAAGCCCCUGGAUAUGAGGCAGGGUGGGAGUGACCAGCUCCAGGCCAAGGAAAGUAAAGACCCAAAGCCUCAACACCAGAGACAGGGUGAAGGAAUCUCCCUCAGGGCAUCCAGGAAGACCCAACCCUCCCCACAAAUGGAUUGGGGCUUUUAACCUCCAGACCAGUACAGGUGAGCGGUGGGGGCUGAAGCAUGUAAGUACACUCUUAUCUGGUCACAUAAGCCCUUGUUUGUCUUGUGGAUUAUCUGGGGGUUCUCUGGACGGUGACGGUCACAGAGAGAGGCCAGUUAACAGCACUUGUCUCCUGUGAUAUGGAGUUGGUAAGUCCAGCAGUGUGGGCAACAGAUGGCGGUGUUUGUGUCCCAGAUCACCCAGACUGGAAGAAAGCCCCUCACACACACUUGUUCCAUUUGGUUCCUCCUUCAACUGAUUGGACGAGGCCCACCCCCACCAGGAAGGGCAGGCCUCUGUGCUCAGUCUACAUGCACCCUGUCAAAGGAUGACCUCAUUUGGACAUACCCUCAAGGACACACCCAGAGUCAAUGUCUGGGUGUCUCCCGACCCAGUCAAGUCAACACAGAAAAUGAGCCAUCGCCUGUUUAACUACAGCUAGGAGCAGGACACCAUCAGGCAUCAGAAUGUGUAGAAGAGGCCAAAUGGCAACAGGGUGCCGUUGUGCAGUCUCUCUCCCAGCUGUUUCCCAGUCUCACCAACGUCAGAGUUGUCUCUCUUGGCUUAGCUGUUCUAGGGAGUAUGAAGUAACAUCCUCGCGCUUAAGUCUCCCUUUCCCAAUUUCCCAAAUGAUUGGUAAGGGUGGCCAUUUGUUUACCUGCAGAUGAGCCUUUUUGAUGCCUUUGGGGUCUACAAAGCAACUGUUUGAUUUAAAAACUGGUUGGUUUGCUGUUUUCUUACUGGUUUGUAGGAGCUCUUGGUACAGUGCAGAUACAAAAUCUUGACCAAACAUCUCUCUGUCCACCUAUCAAGAGCCAAAGAAGUAGGGAGCGAUGUGUGGCUCACCUUCUCACUCUCCUAAAGGCACCUCCAAGUUCUUAGUGUUUUCCCUGCUCCAUGGUGGCAGGGAUCAAACCUAGGACCUUGUGCACUGUUAGGUGAGCAUUCUACUGCUCAGCAGGCUCUCAAUAUAUGUAUGUAUGUAUGUAUGUAUGUAAAUGACGCUGGAGCAGCGGUAGAGGACCUGGGUUCAUCUCCAGCACCUACAUGUCAGCCCACAACUGCCUGUAACUCCAGUUCCAGAGGACUUGACAUCCUCACGGAGGCAAAGCACAAACGCACAUGAAAUAAAAUAAAUUAUUACAUUUA
rnacentral:lncRNA from 1 species